rnacentral:lncRNA from 1 species
GCGAGGUAGGAUGCCGACCACACGAGUUGGUCGUAUUGCCUUUAGAGUGGGAGGAGAAGGAUGUGAGACCCGAAGGUCGGGACCUAGGGAAAGUCCCCGAGCUUAAGAGCGAGCGGGCUGUUGAACAGGUCGGACAACUCCCGAACAUCAGAAACAUCUGCAAAAGAACAGUAAGGUACCUCGAAGGUUUUAUUUAUUCAAUAAAGAGGGAAAACAUAAUACAUAGCUUUUAAGUUCGAAGGAUAGAAGCGUCGCAGAUGCUCGAUGUUCUAUAAAUUGGGGAUGUCUGAGUCGUCCGCCCAAGUUAG